UACAGAGGUCUCAAGCGUUGUUCGGAAUUACUGGGCGUAAAGGGUGCGCAGGCCGCGCGGGCAGUCAAAUGUGUAAUUCAGAGGCUCAACCUCUGGACUGCGCUUGAUACUUCCGCGCUCGAGCUUUGGAGAGGAGUCUGGAAUUCUCGGUGUAGCAGUGAAAUGCGUGGAUAUCGAGAAGAACACCUAGGGCGAAAGCAAGACUCUGGACAAAUGCUGACGCUCAUGCACGAAGGCUAGGGGAGCGAACGGG
rnacentral:rRNA from 1 species